CGCGGAAGUUUCAAAAUGUAGAAGAGUUGUUUCUUUAAAGGCCUUGUUGACUUUCAUUUUGUGUUGCUGCAGGUGGCGCAUCAUGUCUUUGAAGCUGGUUUGAAGAGAUUUAUGCAUGAGCCUGGUUACAUUCUUGAAUAUGCAGAUCUCUUGUGCCGUUCAAAUGAUGAUAGGAAUAUUUGUGAGGGCCUUGAAUUCGCUCCCACCAGAGCAAUCUGUGGAGGUCUGGCAGCGGUUUACCCAAACAUGAUGUUGUGUCAAGGUACAGGUAUAUGGAUCUUUGGCCGUGCUCAUCUAAAGACCUGGAUUAUUUGGCACAUAAAGAGUGGCUUGUGAGAAACAUUAAUAAGAAGGCCGAAAAGUCAUUUCUAUCAAAUGGAGUUGGUUCUCUAGGUGCCAGCAUCUCCCUAGCCUUGUACAGCAUCAUAUCUGUGAAGUGUUGGUAUUUUAUACAUUGUAUGCUCUUUUUAGGUGCAGAAAAGGGUUCCUCUGAAUAUUGCAAAAACAUCUACUACACCUGCUAAAGUUAGUUAUCUAGAUACUUGUCAGGAUGAUUAUGUUUAUGACCCUGGGAAAAAACAAGGUACACAACCAGAUAUUUACUUUCAGAAUAUCGGAAAUGAUUUAAGCACGAGGGUAAAACCAUGCAGCAUUAUUGAGAAUGCUGAAAGUUCGGACAACGAGAAUUGGUUCAAGUGCUGAAAAUCUGUUAGUUAUGUUUCAAGUCAAAUGAUGGUAUCUUUGUACUAAUGUUGAAAUAACUAUAUGUUUGUCCCCGAAUUGUAGUUUGGCAUUUCUUUUAUGUAUCAACUUAUUUAUCUAACAAGUUGUUGCAUUUGAAUAUAGGUGCUGCAUUACUUCCUAACACUACAGUACCUGGACUGCCAGCUGCUUGUGAUACCUGCUCCUGCUGCCCCUUUAGCUGGUGGGACUGGAACAACAAAAGCAUUCGAUGAAAGUGCUUCUUCCGGCUUUGGUAGCAUUUGUAACGCACUUGCCCUCCGUUGAUGGGCAACAAGAAGAUGAAACGUCACCACUUCCAUAUGAUCUUUUCAAGAUUAGACGAAUGCAGAAAGCUCGAGGAGUAACCAAGUUCACAAACUGGAUCAGCAGUAUCUGGCGGUGGAAGUGCCUUCUCAGGAGAGCUGUUGGGAAGUGAUGUAACUUAACAUGCACACUUUUCACAUUCUCUUUGGUAUGCUCUGCAAAUGUAAUAUAAUUUUGUAUUCAAUUUGAGCAAUUUAAUGCCCACCAGAAUUAUGUGAAAUGGAAAUAUCCGGCUACGACAUUUACUUGUGAGUUUAUCCUCAAACUGAAUCACUGUAUGCCUGCUUUAGCUAGAGUCUUACGAGUUUAAUGAUAUUUUGAAAUAAAAAUAAAUCUGAAACUAGUGUUUUACAUGUGUAGCACAAUAUGCA